rnacentral:SRP_RNA from 1 species
CCGUGCUAGGCGGGGAGUUAGCGGUGUCCUGUACUCGCAAUCCGCUCUAGCGAGGCCGAAUCCCCGCUCGAGGGACCCGGUUUCUGAGGCCAGUACGCCGCCCGCGGGCGACGAUGGCCAGGUCCCGCGCGAUGGUCGCUCGUGAACCAGGUCAGAUCCGGGAGGAAGCAGCCUUAAGCGAUUCCGACCAUGCGCCGCGGGGAAGCCUGGCCGGAGUCCGGGGGCGGCGGGAACGCUCGGAGGCCGAUCUCGACAGCGGGUGCACGG